GAGGCAUCUUCUGACUCGUCCUGCAUUUUAGACAUAAAAGUUGGUACGCAUUUCAAGAAAUGGUGCAUUAUGCAGUCUAAAAUUAAGGCAGGAGCUGUCGACGAGUACAAGAAAGAGGUUGCAACAAUGACAGGGAUGGCUCGUUCAUUUGUUCAAUCCGGACUCUCAGGUGAUGAAAUCCAUAAUGCUGCAUCUGAGCCUUCCAUUACUCAAUAGAACGUCUAAUUUAGGUUAUAUUUAGCUUCAGGAAUCUUUGAAAGUGUGUUAUAAUUCUGUUUUUAUUUGUUUGUAAGUAAG
rnacentral:misc_RNA from 1 species